GAAAUUUCAUUGAUAAUUAGCCAUUACGUGGGGCAUUGAGAAAUUGACAAACUCAUGGCGCACGGCUUGUUCGGCUAAACCAUGGGCCGCCCAAUUAAAAGAACGAGUCCAAAAUGAGCCCGUCUAUGUCCAACGUGGGGUCAUGAUACCUUGCAUAGCUUGAAUAAUUGUAACCAAUCCUUGUUGUCGUGCCAAGAGGAUGGCUUCU
rnacentral:misc_RNA from 1 species